GGGGGGGGCGCGCGGGACUGGAGCCCCGCGAAGGAAGGGUCGCUCUUUGGCCGCCCGAUCGCGGGAGCCCCCCGGUGGGAGCGCGCGCACUUAUGUAAAAGCGCUGACAUGCGCGGUACGGGGACGGCGGCGAGUCUUCGCGCAUCCGCGCCCACACACUCACCGUCGGGGAGUAAAAAUAAAAUAACAUCACAGUACAACAAAGCGGUCGGCGCUCCACAUUUAGACCGGGCCACCUGGUCGCCCACGCGGAGCUCCCUGGGAGGUGGGUGGUCGCGUGUUUCAGUGCCGGGCCUCUACGAGCCCCGCCCCCAUCCGCCAGCCCCGCCUCUUUACACUACCUUAACCAACCCACUACACCCCCCCCCCCACACCUGGUGGAUCUCCCGUUCUCCUUUACACACACAUACAAGCAUACACACACACACACACACACACACACACACACACCAGAGCGUAACAAGCUGUCAAUUGUUGGGGGGCACCAGAUAAAAAUAUUAUUCUACCCGGUACCGUCCCCCCGUGAGCAUUAUAAUAAUUAUCAGUGAGUUUUUCCAGAAAUAUGUGGGGGACAUAAGCUUUGCCUGAACCUUGCUGGGGGAAACGCCUAUGAUACAUGUAACCACACACACACACACACACACACACACACACACGAGUCAUCAUAUGUUCACCACAUGUCCUGCUACAGGGUGAACGGUCGAGAGCUUAGUAUUCAGUUCACAAAGAGAGAGAGAGAUGAUGAUGAUGAUGAUGAUGAUGAUGGAAUAGAGAGAGAGAGACACACACACACAACACUGAGAGAGAGAGAGAGAGAGAGAGAGAGAGAGGAAGCAGAGUCGGAGGGAAGCAGAGUCGGAGGGAGGGACGGACGGAGGGAGGGCGGACACACACCGACAGCCGACACACACAGUCCACGCGCGGCAGAGCACCUUCAGACAGGAGAGGAAGGCGUUCCGCGCUCUCCGGCCCCUCCGCCGUCCUCUCAGGGCAAGAGCUGGAAGAAUUUAAAGAGAACACUCGAGCCCAGAACAACGCAAAUCCCUAGUGUUAAAAAAUUACAUGAACCUCAGUCUGGAAGCAUACCUGCUAGAGUGUGAUCGAUAAUCCUUACAACGUGCCAUACAGACGCAAAGAUCGUGCUUCGAUGGGCAUUUUUUUAGGAGUAUUACGAGGAAUACGUGAAUAGUUUCCAUAGUCGUAAAACACAAGGCUGGGAAAGAGACGCAAGAAGGGAAAAAGAAAGCCUUUCUGUUGGAUAUUUCUCAAGAGGUUUGCCGCAGGAAGCAGCCGAAUCAGGAGCUUUGGCCUAGUUAUAGGGGCUGGCGGUGGACGGUGAACUAUUUCCCAGCACAGGUAUG
rnacentral:lncRNA from 1 species